rnacentral:lncRNA from 1 species
CAUGGCGAUUGAAGGUGGAGAGAGAACCUGUGGAGUACAUGAACUUACCUGUUUUAGAAAAGUAUCUCCAGAGGCAGUUGGGUUUUUGUCAGCUGUUUGGGUGUUUAUUAUCCUGAUGCUGCUUCUUUUUCUCUAUAUUAAUAAGCAGUUCUGUUUUGAAAAUGUUGGAGGGCUUCCAGAUCUUGGUUCAGAAUACAGUACAAGGAACAAUUCACAAGAUAAAAUGUGUCUGUGACUCCCAAAUGAGCGUGUCAGAAAUGUCUUGUAGUGAAAGUACAUCCGCAUGUCAGUCUCUCGAAGACGGGUCAGUUCCAGAAAUUCUCAUUAGCCUGCUUUAUAAUGCCACAAAUGGGAGACUAUCAGCAGAAGUGAUAAAAGGCAGCCACUUAAAAAAUUGGGCAGCAAACAGACCACCCAAUACAUAUGUUAAGUUAACUCUACGGAAAUCCACGGAUCAAGAGAUGUCCAAAUGCAAGAUAUCCAUCCGCAGAGGGCGGCCAAAUCCAGUAUACAAGGAAACUUUUGUUUUCAAAGUGACCCUAUUUCAGCUUUCUCAUGUGACACUCAUGCUGUCUGUGUAUAACAAAAGCAGCAUGAGAAGAAAGAUGAUAGGCUGGAUUUAUUUAGGUCUCAACAGCUCUGGAGAAGAACUCAAUCACUGGACUGAAAUGAAAGAGUCAAAAGGACGGCAAGUACGUAGAUGGCAGGCGUUGCUAGAGUCACGAUGAAUACAAUAAGCAAACAGUUACCAUCCAAUGCAGCAUAUUUCUAAUUACAACAUUACUGUUUCUACCAAGUCGCCAUUGGAAGAGCUGUUCUUUGAAGAAUCAUAUUCAACCUUUUACCAAAAUGCUUUAAGUUCUAUGGAAAGAACAUCUAAUACUGAGAUAAAUGAAGAAAAUAUGUGUAUCUGAUAGAGCUUGUUUGGGAAACUGAGAAACGUACAUUAUCAUUGUUAAACUAACAGUCCUCCAGAAAUUUAAUAAGAUGUUUUUGAUUUGAAGUUAAUUUUAAUUUAGCAAAAGAGCCGGUAAUUUUAUGAAAAAUCAAAAUUAUAAGUGAUUUUAAAAACCAGAGUUUUAGUCGCAAUAUAAUUUUAAUAUCACUCUACAUAUUAUUUAUAAAACAUAGUUUGGCCAGUCCCUGGUGUUUGUAAUGUUCUUUAAUAUGAAAAAGUAGUCCUCCAACCCUAUCGUAAGUCAUAUCUAAUGGCGAAGGGUUUCAGUCACAUUGAAAAUUGUUUUAUUUCAGACAUGUUCCUUUUGUGCACUUAGUUUCAUUGUGCCUCAGUUCCUCUCUAUAGCACUAAAUCUAAGUGCAGACAAGCAUUCGUUUUCAUACAGGAAUGUUUUUAAUAUGUUAAUUUUUUUUUAAAAGUUCAUUUUUCAUUUGCUUCUGCUUUUGCCUGAUCCAAAGAGACAAAGUCACUGUGCUGGUCCCUUGCAAGU